UACGAAGGGGGCUAGCGUUGCUCGGAAUUACUGGGCGUAAAGGGCGCGUAGGCGGAUAUUUAAGUCAGGGGUGAAAGCCCGGGGCUCAACCUCGGAAUUGCCUUUGAUACUGGAUAUCUUGAGUUCGGGAGAGGAUGGUGGAAUUCCCAGUGUAGAGGCGAAAUUCGUAGAUAUUGGGAAGAACACCGAUGGCGAAGGCAGCCAUCUGGACCGACACUGACGCUGAGGCGCGAAAGCGUGGGGAGCAAACAGG
rnacentral:rRNA from 1 species